rnacentral:rRNA from 1 species
UAUGAGAACAAUUAGUGGCAGACGGGUGAGUAAUGCAUAGGAAUCUACCUAGUAGUAUAGGAUAGCCACUAGAAAUGGUGGGUAAUACUGUAUAAUCCCUGCGGGGGAAAGAUUUAUCGCUACAUGAUGAGCCUAUGUUAGAUUAGCUAGUUGGUGGGGUAAUGGCCUACCAAGGCAGUGAUCUAUAGCUGGUCUGAGAGGAUGAUCAGCCACACUGGAACUGAGACACGGUCCAGACUCCUACGGGAGGCAGCAGUGGGGAAUAUUGGACAAUGGGCGCAAGCCUGAUCCAGCUAUGCCGCGUGAGUGAGGAAGGCCUUAGGGUUGUAAAACUCCUUCAGUGGGGAAGAUAAUGACGGUACCCACAGAAGAAGUCCCGGCAAACUCCGUGCCAGCAGCCGCGGUAAUACGGAGGGGGCAAGCGUUGUUCGGAAUUAUUGGGCGUAAAGGGCAUGUAGGUGGUUUGGUAAGUUAAAGGUGAAAUGCCAGGGCUUAACCCUGGAGCUGCUUUUAAUACUGCCAGACUGGG